rnacentral:rRNA from 1 species
UACGUAGGGAGCAAGCGUUGUCCGGAAUCAUUGGGCGUAAAGAGCGUGUAGGCGGUUUGCUAAGUCUGGUGUGAAAUCUUUCGGCUUAACCGGAAGCGGUCACUGGAAACUGGCAGACUUGAAUCUGGAAGAGGAGCGUGGAAUUCCUGGUGUAGCGGUGGAAUGCGCAGAUAUCAGGAGGAACACCUAUGGCGAAGGCAGCACUCUGGUACAUGAUUGACGCUGAGACGCGAAAGCGUGGGGAGCAAACAGG